rnacentral:lncRNA from 1 species
CGCGGCCCCUGUAAAGCGCGGCCUGAUUGGCCCUUUGAACCGGGCGUGGGAUUGGCCGUCGCCUGCCCACCCCGCGGCUGCAGCGUUCCCUGGGGCCUAGCCAACCGCGGGCAGGGCUGGGCAAGGCGGGAGGAGCGCGGACCCAAGAUCGGCUACGCUGCGUCUGCUCAGGCUGCGAGUUCCCGGCUCUGGGGACUCACCUUGCGGAGCUUACCCAGGCGGACUCUCCGCAGCCCCUGAUGGAAAUUUUCUAAUCCCGUGGCGAACCCCCGUACUUCAACGUAUGACAUUCUGUAAAUCUACAAAACAGAUGGGUCCCUGCCUUUGAGAAGUUUUUACAAUUUAGUGGGUACUGGACACGGACCUAAUUUAAUUCUCACAUGCCUUCCCUUUCUAAUAAGCUGCAUGUUAUGUAUCCCUAUUCUACAGAUGUGGGGAAUCCGAAAUUUUUAGCUUUUACUGGGACACACAGCUAGCAAGCAACUAAAGCGAGAAUUCCAACCUGAGCUCCAAUCCGAACUAUUUUCAUAAAAGGCAGGAUCCCAGGCUGAGGGAGUUCGAGGUUUGGGAGACAGUUUAGCAGUCGCUGAGUCCAAACAUGUUGUUUUCCUAGAAAAGAAAACUGAGAUCCAGGAAAGGGAAGUGAUUUUCCAAAGACACACCUGUGAAAGGUGAGGAGAACAGCCCAGUGAGGCUGAGGCCACACAAUUAACCCCAGUCUUUGCACUACAACUCUACCAGGGAUCCUGGUUUGGCUCAUUUUCUUUCUUCUGCACCAUGAUUGUUCACCUUUUCAUUACCAGCAACAUACCCAAAGACCUAGCUAUAGACUCGUUGGAAUCUGUUACUUAGCAGCUGUGUGAAUCAAGUGUUCAAUAGGAAUAAUAAGAUGUAUUCAUCUUACCUUUUCAGAACAUUAUGAAGAACAAAUGUGGUAAGACAUAUGAAAAUGCUUUGUAAAGUGUUAGAUGCUUAAUACACAGAAGACAUUGCUUCCAGAUCUGUUUCAACGUACCCCAAGAAUGGAAUAAGUGGAAUAUGCUGGUUUCAUGCACUGUGGCAAGGGGGUCUCAUCUUGGCUAGACUUGAAUAAGUGGAUUUGUUGCCUGGCCUCUGUGGAUGGCUCUUUCUCUGGGCUUUUGUGUAUUUGAUUUUUUAUUUGCUCCAGCAGCCGUGUUGAACCAUGAAAGGACCUCAGGAAUGAAACCCACACACAGCAAAGCAACAAAGUGAAAGAAGCGUGGAUUCCUAAUGCAGGAGGCACUGAACCAAUCAAUACCCACUGCCCUCCAGACCUCCACAUGAAAGAAAAAAACUGCUGUCCUGUGAAGAAGACACUCCCCAGAUGCCAGCAACUUGAUAUUGGACUUCCUGCCUUUAGAAACAUUCCUUUAAGCCUCUCUGAAACUUGACCCUCUGGCAGGAACAGGUGCCAUUACAUACAGACACUCUCUCUCUUCCAAAUUCACCCUGUCAUAUCAAAGGGAAAACUGAAGUGGUCCACUGUAGACCUGACAGAUGAUCACAAACAGGAAACCAGCAAUCAGAAGUGCCUACUGAGCUCCCUACCCUGACCAUCACCUACAGCUACAUUUUACAGAUACAAAAUCAUUGUUUGUUCAACUUUCAUAUCAAAGGAUGCUAUUAGUUCAUUUCCAAAGGUGGGAAAAUGUUUCAACUUACUUUAUUACUUGUCUGCUACUUACUAUUUUCCCUCCGUUUGCCUGCCUGACUUCUUUUAACUCUUCACUCAACAAAUAUCUACUGACUACUGAGCACUUGCCAAGUGCUAGGCCAGAGCUGGAUGCUGUACUACGGGCAGAUGAAGUGCUAUGGGCAUCCAGAGGUGGAAGAAGAGGGUAUAGCGAAAGGGGAGAAAAGGCUGCAACAAUAUUCACUGAGCCCUGUGCUCCCAGGUCAUCACAUAGACUAUGUCAUUAUUCCUCCUAACCACCCACAUGAGUAAAUAGGGGCUAUUACUGAAGAAACAGAGGCUUACAAAGGUUGAGCAACUUGCCCAAGGUCAUCUAUCACAAGACACUACAAGUCAGACUGCUGAAGAGGGAGUUUCUGCUGAGAAGCUGAAGUGGGCAGCUCAUAUUGGAUAUGAAGGCUUCAAAGGAAUCUAAAUCCUAAUGAUCCCUCUAGAGCCAACAUGCAGCACCAGUUUUCUCUUCCACAUUUGAACUGCUCAUCCACUUCCGGCUCCAAGACCUCACUCUCCAUCUAAACUAGUCCCACGCCAUCCAUAUCUUUCUCCACUAACGCCACCCAAUCACAACCCCACAGCCUCUUAGUCAUGAGUCAUUUUUUAAAAACUGCAAACCAUGUAAUGAGCCAUGGCAAUAUGCAACCCUAAACCUCAACACGUGUUUUCCACAACAAGGCCACAGGUGGCAGAAGCGAGCCUAAGGCCGUAGGACACUAAGGCAGGACUCUCUGGCUUGAGCUUUCCAAAAAGGGAGGUGAGAGAAGGUCUACCUGCGGGAAGUCAUGCUGAAGGCCUGAGGCUGAGUCAAAGAAGGAGCCCCCUGGAGGCUCUGCAGUUCCUGGACUUCAGGUAGAGGAACUCUGCCAUGAACACCUCUGGAAUCGUGUCAUUUUGGGACAAUUAGAGAAUAUCAGUUUUCAGACUGAGUUCUAUGGGAAGGUGCCUGCACAACAAAGGAGAGACGGAAUGGACUUCAGGUCUUCCAAAAUACCCCUCAUGUUCACCAAGUUGCUCUCUGCUCUAAGAUACCAGAUGAGGGGGCCAGUGGGGACUGAAACCCAGUCCCCAGUCUGCUGGCCAAUCCCUUUGCCUGUGAGGCUGCUCUGUCCUACCAGAGAGGGCACUUUUCAUAAUUUGCACCAAGUACAGAAUAGGAUAGUGUAGCUUUACCCUUCUCCCUACCAUCAACCACAGACACAUCAACACAUGCACACAUACAGCCACACAAAUAUACCUACAGGCAUACACAUACAACACAGGCACAUACAUGUUUGCACAAAGUCACAUGUAGACACAAACGCAGAGCACACAGACACAAACACAGGCACAAACCCAUACUUACACUACACACACACACAAACACACACAGACACACAAAUGCAAAUUAAGCCACAAUGUAGCACAUAGAGAUAUAGACACAGACGCAAAUACAGUCACAUAGAGAUAUAGACACACACUUAUACACACAUAUAUGUAAAUAUACAGUCUCAUUCACUUUAUACCACACAUGUAUAAACAUACACAAUUGUAUGUAGACACACAUACACAUAGGUACUCAGACCGCAUAGAUACAUAUGUACACACAUACAAAUAUAUGCACAUACACAGAUAUAUAUAUACACACAUGCAUCUUUAACCAGAACAACUUUACUUUUGUCAGUUUUAUAUGACAGAGUCUUUAAAAAAAGAUUUCAUCUGGCUUGUGUUCUACUAUUAAAAGA